rnacentral:tRNA from 2 species
GUGCCAGUCCAGCCUUGGCAAGCACAGCAAUCGCAGUGCGCUCCGAAGGCAGGGGUUGUUGGUUCGAUCCCAACCGGGCGCACCA